UCUAUUGUUUCACUGAUAGGCCAAGCUGGCCAUAGCUUAAACUACAAUGUAAAGAUUUUAAACUCACAUGCUGUCCUGUACUUCGUAAGGAAGGUUACCUUUACAACCAGGGGAUCUUUAUAAGGAUUUUAGAUCUGUGUUCAUUCCGGAGAAUAUCCUCCUUAACAGCUUGGGUACAACCAACCUGGCUUUUUAACACGAUCUUCCAGAAUAAAUGUAUCGGCCUCACAA